rnacentral:rRNA from 1 species
UGCAUAUCAAUAAGCGGAGGAAAAGAAACCAACAGGGAUUGCCCUAGUAACGGCGAGUGAAGCGGCAACAGCUCAAAUUUGAAAUCUGGCGCAAGCCCGAGUUGUAAUUUGUAGAGGAUGCUUCUGGGCAGCGGCCGGUCUAAGUUCCUUGGAACAGGACGUCAUAGAGGGUGAGAAUCCCGUAUGCGACCGGCUUGCACCCGUCACGUAGCUCCUUCGACGAGUCGAGUUGUUUGGGAAUGCAGCUCUAAAUGGGAGGUAAAUUUCUUCUAAGGCUAAAUACCGGCCAGAGACCGAUAGCGCACAAGUAGAGUGAUCGAAAGAUGAAAAGCACUUUGGAAAGAGAGUUAAAAAGCACGUGAAAUUGUUGAAAGGGAAGCUCACGCAACCAGACUUGUCGGCGGUGUUCCGCCGGUCUUCUGACCGGUCUACUCGCCGCCGGCAGGCCAGCAUCACUUGGGAGCGCCGGAUAAAGGCGUGCGGAAUGUAGCCCCUCGGGGCAUUAUAGCCGCGCGCACAAUACGGCGCCUCCCGAGUGAGGUCCGCGCUUCGGCUAGGAUGCUGGCGUAAUGGUUGCUUGAGGCCCGUCUUGAAACACGGACCA